CGGCGAGUGAAGAGGAAAGAGCUCAAAGUUGGAACCUGUUUGGCUUAGCUAAACCGGAUUGUAAACUGUAGAAGUGUUUUCCAGACACGCCUGGUAAAAAAGUCCUUUGGAACAGGGCAUCAUAGAGGGUGAGAAUCCCGUCUUUGGCCAGAGCUGUUGUCUUUUGUGAUACAUUUUCAAAGAGUCAGGUUGUUUGGGAAUGCAGCCUAAAUUGGGUGGUAAAUCUCACCUAAAGCUAAAUAUUUGCGAGAGACCGAUAGCGAACAAGUACCGUGAGGGAAAGAUGAAAAGAACUUUGAAAAGAGAGUUAAACAGUAUGUGAAAUUGUUAAAAGGGAACCGUUUGGAGCCAGACUGGCUUGACUGUAAUCAAUCUAGGCUUCGGCCUGGAUGCACUUGCGGUUUAUGCCUGCCAACGACAAUUUUUUUUGAGGGAAAAAACUAUUUGGAAUGUGGCCCUCCCUCGGGGGGGUGUUAUAGCCUUUUAGAAAAUACCUUGAAUUGGAUUGAGGAACGCAGUGAAUGCCUUUAGGCAAGAUUGCUGGGCGCUUUCGCUAAUAAAUGCUAGAAUUUCUGCUUCGGGUGGUGCUAGUGUUUAAAGGAGAAACUCGUCUGGUAUA
rnacentral:rRNA from 1 species